rnacentral:rRNA from 1 species
UACGUAGGGUGCGAGCGUGUCCGGAAUUAUUGGGCGUAAAGAGCUCGUAGGCGGUGUGUCACGUCGGCCGUGAAAACCUGCAGCUUAACUGUGGGCGUGCGGUCGAUACGGGCAUCACUGGAGUUCGGCAGGGGAGACUGGAAUUCCUGGUGUAGCGGUGAAAUGCGCAGAUAUCAGGAGGAACACCGGUGGCGAAGGCGGGUCUCUGGGCCGAUACUGACGCUGGAGGAGCGAAAGCGUGGGGAGCAAACAGG